rnacentral:misc_RNA from 1 species
GUUUUGCCAGGUUAAUGGCUUGCUGCACCAUGUCUACCCCUCCGACAAGCACUGCACACUUAAUACCAAUGCCAGACCCUAAAGCUUCAAACUGCUCAGCUAUCUGAAUUGCAAGCUCCCUUGUGGGAGAGAGCACACAGGCAAAAAAUGCUUGAGGAGCUUCCAAGAGAGCUUGCAAAAUGGGAAGAGCAAAAGCUCCAGUUUUCCCAGAACCAGUUUGUGCAAGUCCAAUUAGAUCCUUUCCUUCUAGGGCAUGAGGAAUAGCCUCCGCCUGAAUCUUUGAUGGAUUUUUCCAGCCUAAACUCUCGCAUGCCUCCACCAAUUGCUCACAUAUUCCUAAGCUCUGAAACGUCUUUACCUCUUCUUCACUGUCUUGCUCCAUUGCCACCGUUCAAUCUCAAACCUUGACCGAUUUGAGCUUCAAACGAAUACCCCCCGUGAAAUCACCUCACGAGCUCAACCACUUGUGACUAAUCGGAACCCACCGUGAAACACACAGCAACAACCGUCGUCUGAUGCUACCAGAAAACCAAGACCCACGCCGUUUCCAGCCCCAGCACCGAGAGACCCACAGCCUACGUUAAAGCCUUCUUCACAGAGACCCACGGCGGCGUAAUUCCGUCUGUGAACCGAGACCUCUAAAAAU